GAUGAACGCUGGCGGCGUGCCUAAUACAUGCAAGUCGAGCGAACAGAUGAGGAGCUUGCUCCUCUGACGUUAGCGGCGGACGGGUGAGUAACACGUGGAAACCCUCCUUAAAAGACUGGUAAAACUUGGGAAAACGGGCGCAAAUCCGGUAGAAUCUAUUGAACCGCAGGGUUCAUUAGUGAAAGUCGGUUUUUCUGGAACUACUAGCUGGUUCCCGGCUGCAUUAGCUAGUUGUUAAGGUACCGGCUUACGAAGGCAACUAUGCGUAGCCGACCUGAGAGAGUGGUCGGCCACACUGGAACUGAGACGCGGACCAGACGCCUACGGGAGGCAGCAGUAGGGAAUCUGCCGCAAUGGGCGAAAGCCUGACGGAGCGACGCCGCGUGAGUUGUGAAGGUCUUCGGAUCGUAAAACUCGGUUAUUAGGGAAGAACAAAUGUGUAAGUAACUAUGCACGUCUUGACGGUACCUAAUCAGAAAGCCACGGCUAACUACGUG
rnacentral:rRNA from 1 species